rnacentral:rRNA from 1 species
AUGAACGCUAGCGGCAGGCUUAACACAUGCAAGUCGAAGGGCAGCGUGGGAAGUGCUUGCACUUCCUGACGGCGACUGGCGCACGGGUGAGUAACACGUAUGCAACCUGUCCCCUGCAGGGGGACAACUUUCCGAAAGGAAGGCUAAUCCCGCGUAUAUUCCGGAGGGGCAUCCCUCCGGGAGGAAAGAUUCAUCGGCAGGGGAUGGGCAUGCGGCGCAUUAGGCAGACGGCGGUGUAACGGACCACCGUACCGACGAUGCGUAGGGGUUCUGAGAGGAAGGUCCCCCACACUGGUACUGAGACACGGACCAGACUCCUACGGGAGGCAGCAGUGAGGAAUAUUGGUCAAUGGGCGGGAGCCUGAACCAGCCAAUCCGCGUGAGGGAAGAAGGCCCUAUGGGUCGUAAACCUCUUUUGUCAGGGAACAAAAGCGAGUAUGUAUACUAGUCUGAGUGUACCUGAAGAAAAAGCAUCGGCUAACUCCGUGCCAGCAGCCGCGGUAAUACGGAGGAUGCGAGCGUUAUCCGGAUUUAUUGGGUUUAAAGGGUGCGUAGGCGGCGAUGCAAGUCAGCGGUAAAAGCCCGGGGCUCAACCCCGGCGAGCCGUUGAAACUGCAGUGCUAGAGAAGGCGAGAGGUACGCGGAAUGCGCAGUGUAGCGGUGAAAUGCUUAGAUAUUGCGCAGAACUCCGAUUGCGAAGGCAGCGUACUGGCGCCUGACUGACGCUGAGGCACGAAAGCGUGGGGAUCGAACAGGAUUAGAUACCCUGGUAGUCCACGCCGUAAACGAUGAAUGCUAGGUGUUGGGGAGCAAAGCUCUUCGGUGCCGCCGCAAACGCAUUAAGCAUUCCACCUGGGGAGUACGCCGGCAACGGUGAAACUCAAAGGAAUUGACGGGGGCCCGCACAAGCGGAGGAACAUGUGGUUUAAUUCGAUGAUACGCGAGGAACCUUACCCGGGCUCAAACGGCGGCGGACAGGGACAGAGACGUCCCCUCCUACGGGCCACCGCCGAGGUGCUGCAUGGUUGUCGUCAGCUCGUGCCGUGAGGUGUCGGCUUAAGUGCCAUAACGAGCGCAACCCCUGCCGGUAGUUGCUAACGGGUCAAGCCGAGGACUCUACCGGGACUGCCGGCGCAAGCCGUGAGGAAGGCGGGGAUGACGUCAAAUCAGCACGGCCCUUACGUCCGGGGCGACACACGUGUUACAAUGGUCGGUACAGAGGGAAGCCAGGUGGCGACACCGAGCGGAACCCGAAAGCCGGUCUCAGUUCGGAUCGGAGUCUGCAACCCGACUCCGUGAAGCUGGAUUCGCUAGUAAUCGCGCAUCAGCCAUGGCGCGGUGAAUACGUUCCCGGGCCUUGUACACACCGCCCGUCAAGCCAUGGGAGCCGAGGGCGCUUGAAGUGCGUCGCCGCAAGGCGCGCCCUAGAGCGAAAUCGGUGACUGGGGCU